rnacentral:rRNA from 1 species
GAUGAACGCUGGCGGCGCGCCUAACACAUGCAAGUCGAACGGCACCCCUCCUCGGAGGGAAGCGAGUGGUGAACGGCUGAGUAACACGUGGAGAACCUGCCCCCUCCCCCGGGAUAGCCGCCCGAAAGGACGGGUAAUACCGGAUACCCCGGGGUGCCGCAUGGCACCCCGGCUAAAGCCCCGACGGGAGGGGAUGGCUCCGCGGCCCAUCAGGUAGACGGCGGGGUGACGGCCCACCGUGCCGACAACGGGUAGCCGGGUUGAGAGACCGACCGGCCAGAUUGGGACUGAGACACGGCCCAGACUCCUACGGGAGGCAGCAGUGGGGAAUCUUGCGCAAUGGGGGGAACCCUGACGCAGCGACGCAGCGUGCGGGACGGAGGCCUGCGGGUCGUAAACCGCUUUCAGCAGGGAAGAGUCAAGACUGUACCUGAAGAAGAAGCCCCGGCUAACUACGUG